AAGGCAUGGAAGACUCCAUAAACGGAUCGUACAAUCCCUUGAACUUGAAAUUAUAUACGGAGGCAUUGAAUUAGCAUCAUUUGAAGCUGGUCUGUUUUCUUUUUCCACAUCAUCAGUAUCAGUAGUACUUUGAUUGCCUUGAACUAUUUUGAUACAACGGAUUGUUGACGUGUGUCCAUAAAACACCUGUUUACAUUCACCGGUUCUAAGGUCCCAGACUCUUACUGUCCUGUCUGUGGAGCCAGUAACCAAAGUAUCCCCAACGUAUUCAAAAGUCCA